rnacentral:rRNA from 1 species
CCCUUAGAUGUUCUGGGAUGCACGCGCGUUACACUGAUUCGUUCAACGAGUUUAUGACCUUGCCUGAUGAGGUGGGGGAAUCUUUUCAAAUCGCAUCGUGAUGGGGAUAGAGUAUUGUAACUGUUAGUCUUCAACGAGGAAUUCCUAGUAAGUACGUGUCAUCAGCUCGUACUGAUUAUGUCCCUGCCCUUUGUACACACCGCCCGUCGCUCCUACCGAUUGAGUGCUCAGGUGAGUAGUAUGGACUGCAUCAGUGUUCGGUCUCCGAAUGUUGACGCGAGAAAUUCUGUGAAUCUUAUUGCUUAGAGGAAGGAGAAGUCGUAACA